GAAAUAUGGCGGUGAGGACAGCUUGCACAUAAUUUCUUGAAUCUUUCCCAAUACUCAUACAAGCUCUCUCCACUAAGUUGCCUGAUGCCUGAAAUGUCUUUUCUGAUGGC
rfam:Glycine max cultivar Williams 82 chromosome 18, whole genome shotgun sequence.